rnacentral:rRNA from 1 species
GGACUACUGGGGUAUCUAAUCCUGUUCGCUCCCCACGCUUUCGCUCCUCAGCGUCAGGUAAGGCCCAGAGAACCGCCUUCGCCACCGGUGUUCCUCCCGAUAUCUGCGCAUUUCACCGCUACACCGGGAAUUCCAUUCUCCCCUACCUACCUCUAGUCUGCCCGUAUCCACUGCAGGCUCGGGGUUAAGCCCCGAGAUUUCACAGCGGACGCAACAGACCGCCUACGAGCUCUUUACGCCCAAUAAUUCCGGACAACGCUUGCGCCCUACGUGUUACCGCGGCUGCUGGCAC